CUUAAUCUUACAACAAAUUUCCUCUUAAAUCUUUUACUUUCUCAAUAUCACCGGGCUUGAUGAGAAAGUGAAGAGAGUAACCUUCCGAUGGAAAAAGAAGAAGACGACCGCCAUAGCCAGAGAGAGAAAGCUUAAAGAAGAAUCGGAAAUAACAAUUGAGAAGAAGAAAGUUAUCGUAAUUACUGGAACUGCUGUUCUUGCUGUUGCUAUUAAUUCCGCUUACUUCGUCUUCAAAUCCUUCAAAAGUCGCGGCAAAAGUAAAGGUUUUCCGUUUUCGGAUGGUUUGUUUACGUGUUCUUCCUUUGUUCGAUUUUAUGUUGAUAUAUGGUGCUGAAUAUUGUUUUUAGUGUUUUGUAUUGACGUGUGAAGAACUUUGCUGGUUCAAAUGUGAGGUUUAAUAUAUCGGUGAAUAAAAUUCGAAAAAAUUGACGGAUCGUAUCAUUAUGGAAUCCACGGAAGUUUAUGAUGGUUUUGCUUCUGUGCCUUUUGAUAAGAAAAUUGUCUUUUCCUCAAAUUCUAUUGGUUCUGUCGCUUUUUGCUGCUGAUAUAUAUGCUUACAAGUUUCAUGAUGGUAGAUCCAAGUUCUCAACCAUCAUAGAGGGAUGUAGUUCCGCAAAAAGGUUAUACUUGUGGUAUCAAGAGCCUGGAACAUACAAGAAACUCAAAUAAUUAUACCGAUAUACUUCACUUUUACCUGAUUGUACAUCCUCUUUUGCUGUUUUGCGUUUGCCAAGGUGAUAAAGGGUACGAAAACUUCAUUUUUACCUUGAUGAGUCACACAUCGUCGUGUAAACAAUACUCUUGUCCCUGUAAAUUUGCAUAAUAUGAGUUAAAAAAACUUUUAUGCAUCUGAAUUAUAUUGUUAUUAAUCGUGUAAAGAAUACUAAUCAUAAUUGUACUUUAGUUGAAUUAUUGCUCUA